ACCAGUCUGAUCUGGGGUGCCUGGGUUGGGCUAUUCCUUCUUGUGAAUCCAGCCUGUGGUUCCUGUUUGGAUCAAGGGUCUGUAGUGAGAGGAAAAAAGGAGGAAGACAGAGAGCCUUGAAAGCAGGAGCUCUGUUUUGCAGAUUGGGACACUGAGGCACACAGAUCCUAAGUAGCUAAGCUGGGAUUCAAACCUAGUCAGUUUGGUUCCAGAAGGAUCCACUCUGGGACCUUGUCUCCGGGAGCACGUGAGCAGAAAUGGUGACAAGGAGGAGUGCACCAGAAGAUAAAGGAGAAGGAAAAGUGCUAACAGGUCCUGGCCUUCAGACUGCAAUUUCUUUUUCAGCUGGGUCUGAUCUCCAGAACUUUCCUUCUCCAGAUGAUGGAGUCAGGCUCUUCCUAAGCUGCCCGGGAAGCAGCAUGGAUUGUUUCUUGAGGGAUGGAAGACUUGAGUUCUGAAACUUGAGGAGAAACUCUCACCCAUGAAUGGAAGUGACCAGUGUAUAAUGGACUCAGAGGAAACAGUGCCCACUGUGAAGGCCAUAUAGCCACUUGAGAGUAAGGACCCAGAUUCCCUCUUUUGUCACCUACUCACUGCUCGUUCACUUGCUCAGACAUUCUGCAAGUGUCUGUUGAACUUCUAGACCUUGUUAAGCAAUUGUGCUAGGUAGGAGCAGAGCAAAAGAGAGCGACAGUGGCCUUAAGAAACUCACAGACAAGAUGGAGAGGCAGAUAGAAACAAGCCCUGUAAUUACAGUACACAGUGAGAAACGCCAUCCAAGGGCCAAGGACAGGGUGCUGUGGGGUGGGCAGAGGGUCACGUUAGUAUCAGGACUGUACUCACAUUCACUCCCAUGGCCAGUUAAUUCACCCCCACUGUUCCAUCUGUUUCUUUGUUUUUGAAGUUUUUAUUUCUGGCUUUGCUUUCUUAAUAGCCUUUGGAAAAAUUCCACCCUUGUUUCAGUUGGACUGGGGAAAAAGGGAAUUGUCCACUCUUCAGCCAGAAUAGCCAAGGGGUGCUGGCUUCCGGCAGAGUCCAGGUGGACAAGUGGACGAGGCAGGGUACUUGGUAGGAGGGAGGCCAGGGAAGAGCCUGUGGCCUGGGGCAGGGAAAGGUAAAAACAUAAGCUUGGCUGAGUAGGCUGGGAUGGCCGUAUGAAUUCCCCUUUCCCAGAGCCCUCUACAGGUCCCCUACCCUGUGUUCUGAUUGGAGGAGAGAGUUGAGAACCUCUCCUUCCAUAUCAGUGAAUCCUGUAAAGCUGAGUUCUAUUGCUCUUUCCCCACCCAGAGAGCCUUGAAAGGCAGUGAGUCUUCAACAUUAUUCACAGCAGAGGGCUGGGUGUGUGUACACGGGUGCCCAUAGUCCCUCUCUCUCCCUCAAAACCACCACACAUACCUCAUUCCUCUUGUCUGGGCUUCUGGCACUGAAUUUAUUCAUUCAACAAAUAUUUAUUGAAAACCCACUAUGUACUAGAAACUAGAACUUUAUUAACAGAAAAAGAACUAUUUCAGAAGGUUGCAUAGGUACCAAAAGUGUGUAUAUAUGUGUGUGUGUACGCAUAUAUAAAUAAAUGUGCAUAGAUUAGAGAAGCAGGGGAAGACUUAAGUCUGGGUGCCACCAUGUGCUAGCUAUGUGACCUAGGGUAAAUUACAUAAAGUCUCUGUGCCUCUGUUUUCCAUCUGUAAAAUGGUCAUAAGCAGAGUUCUUACCUCUGGGGGCUGUGGUGAAGACUGAAUGAGUGGAUGUGCAAAAUGUGUAUGCCGUGCCCAGCACAAAACAGGCUUUCAGCGAGUAUUAGCAGUCACUGCUUCCUUCUCACUCACUCACUCACUCACUCAGAGUUGGGUGCAGACAACGUGUAAAUGACUAGUUUUCCAAAUCUGGCUCUUGCUCAACCUGGUGACUCAGAGGCAGUCACCUGGUCCUAACUACCUCUGUCCCCUGCAGCUCAUCUACAACACAGAGCUUGGUCUACACAACUACU